rnacentral:rRNA from 1 species
UGGGGAAUUUUGCGCAAUGGGCGAACGCCUGACGCAGCGACGCCGCGUGUACGAUGAAGGCCUUUGGGUCGUAAAGUACUGUCAACGGGGACGAACGCCUCAGAUUGAAUAGGUCUGAGGUCUGACGGUACCCGUGGAGGAAGCACCGGCUAACUCUGUGCCAGCAGCCGCGGUAAUACAGAGGGUGCAAACGUUGCUCGGAAUGACUGGGCGUAAAGCGCGCGCAGGUGGCCCGUUAAGUUGGCUGUGAAAUCCCCUGGCUCAACCAGGGAAGUGCAGUCGAUACUGGCGGGCUCGAGUCCCGGAGAGGGUGGUAGAAUUCCCAGUGUAGAGGUGAAAUUCGUAGAUAUUCGGAAGAACACCAGUGGCGAAGGCGACUGUCUGGCACAUUUCUGACGCUGAGGUGCGAAAGCGUGGGGAGCAAACAGGAUUAGAUACCCGCGUAGUCC